UGAAUGUUUCAGACGGCAUUAUUUACAACAAUGGUUCUUAACCUUUUUUGAGGUCCCGAACCCCCCAGUUUCAUAUGCGCCUUCACCGAACCCUUCUUAUCUGAUUUAGUAAUGUAAUUAUAUUAGCUGCGUUAUCACCCCCACGCCACUAGAGGCAGUAGCAACCC